GACGAACGCUGGCGGCGUGCUUAACACAUGCAAGUCGAACGGAAAGGCCCUGCUUUUGUUGGGUGCUCGAGUGGCGAACGGGUGAGUAACACGUGAGUAACCUGCCCUUGACUUUGAGAUCACUUCAGGAAACUGGGGCUAAUACCGGAUAGGAGCUCCUGCUGCAUGGUGGGGGUUGGAAAGUUUCGGCGGUUGGGGAUGGACUCGCGGCUUAUCAGCUUGUUGGUGGGGUAGUGGCUUGCCAAGGCUUUGACGGGUAGCCGGCCUGAGAGGGUGACCGGCCACAUUGGGACUGAGAUACGGCCCAGACUCCUACGGGAGGCAGCAGUGGGGAAUAUUGCACAAUGGGCGGAAGCCUGAGGCAGCAACGCCGCGUGCGGGAUGACGGCCUUCGGGUUGUAAACCGCUUUCGCCUGUGACGAAGCGUGAGUGACGGUAAUGGGUAAAGAAGCACCGGCUAACUACGUG
rnacentral:rRNA from 1 species